AACGAACGCUGGCGGCAGGCUUAACACAUGCAAGUCGAACGCAUCCUUCGGGGUGAGUGGCAGACGGGUGAGUAACGCGUGGGAACGUGCCCUUCAGAUCGGGAUAACCCAGGGAAAUUUGGGCUAAUACCGGCUACGUGCUCGAGCAGACAGAUUUUAUGCUGAAGGAUCGGCCCGUGUCUGAUUAGCUAGUUGGUGGGGUAAUGGCCCACCAAGGCGACUAUCAGUAGCUGGUCUGAGAGGAUGAUCAGCCACAUUGGGACUGAGACACGGCCCAAACUCCUACGGGAGGCAGCAGUGGGGAAUAUUGGACAAUGGGCGCAAGCCUGAUCCAGCCAUGCCGCGUGAGUGAUGAAGGCCUUAGGGUUGUAAAGCUCUUUCGUCCGGGACGAUAAUGACGGUACCGGAAGAAGAAGCCCCGGCUAACUUCGUGCCAGCCGCCGCCGUAA
rnacentral:rRNA from 1 species